GACGAACGCUGGCGGCGCGCCUAACACAUGCAAGUCGAACGGUGAAGAGGAGCUUGCUCCUCGGAACAGUGGCGGACGGGUGAGUAACACGUGAGCAACCUGGCUCUAAGAGGGGGACAACAGUUGGAAACGACUGCUAAUACCGCAUGACGUAUCGGGAUGGCAUCUUCCUGAUACCAAAGAUUUUAUCGCUUAGAGAUGGGCUCGCGUCUGAUUAGAUAGUUGGCGGGGUAACGGCCCACCAAGUCGACGAUCAGUAGCCGGACUGAGAGGUUGAACGGCCACAUUGGGACUGAGACACGGCCCAGACUCCUACGGGAGGCAGCAGUGGGGGAUAUUGGACAAUGGGGGCAACCCUGAUCCAGCGACGCCGCGUGAGGGAAGAAGGUUUUCGGAUUGUAAACCUCUGUUGACGGAGAAAAAAAUGAUGGUAUCCGUUUAGAAAGCCACGGCUAACUACGUA
rnacentral:rRNA from 1 species